rnacentral:rRNA from 1 species
UACGUAGGUGGCAAGCGUUGUCCGGAUUUACUGGGCGUAAAGAGCGCGCAGGCGGUCGUGCAAGUCGCGUGUGAAAGCCCCCGGCUCAACUGGGGAGGGUCACGCGAUACUGCUCGACUUGAAGGCAGGAGAGGGAAGUGGAAUUCCCGGUGUAGUGGUGAAAUGCGUAGAUAUCGGGAGGAACACCAGUGGCGAAGGCGACUCCUGGCCUGUUCUUGACGCUGAGGCGCGAAAGCUAGGGUAGCAAACGGG